GACGAACGCUGGCGGCGUGCUUAACACAUGCAAGUCGAACGGAAAGGCCCUGCUUUUGUGGGGUGCUCGAGUGGCGAACGGGUGAGUAACACGUGAGUAACCUGCCCUUGACUUUCGGAUAACUUCAGGAAACUGGGGCUAAUACCGGAUAGGAGCUCCUGCUGCAUGGUGGGGGUUGGAAAGUGUCGGCGGUUGGGGAUGGACUCGCGGCUUAUCAGCUUGUUGGUGGGGUAGUGGCUUACCAAGGCUUUGACGGGUAGCCGGCCUGAGAGGGUGACCGGCCACAUUGGGACUGAGAUACGGCCCAGACUCCUACGGGAGGCAGCAGUGGGGAGUAUUGCACAAUGGGCGGGAGCCUGAUGCAGCAACGCCGCGUGCGGGAUGACGGCCUUCGGGUUGUAAACCGCUUUCGCCUGUGACGAAGCGUGAGUGACGGUAAUGGGUAAAGAAGCACCGGCUAACUACGUG
rnacentral:rRNA from 1 species